GCGCCCAUAGCUCAGCUGGAUAGAGUAACGGACUACGAAUCCGUAGGUCGCAGGUUCGAAUCCUGCUGGGCGCACCA
rnacentral:tRNA from 2 species